rnacentral:ncRNA from 1 species
UUGUAGCAUUGUGGCUUACUGUCGUAGAACAAUGCUUUUUUGAGCACUCAACUUUAAAACCAUUGCUGUUGGAGGUCUGCUUCCCAUUCGUGGGUCGAGCGGCCACUGAAACGGUGAUGACCUGAGGUUUGGGAUAUUU